AGACUCGCGCUUCUGUCUGUCAGUGAAGCCUCAAGGGGUCAAACCCUCGCGAGAUCCAUAACAGCGAUUAUUACUCUUUGUCCAAGAAUCUUUACAAAUGAUUGGCCGAGCACCGACAUCUUCGGCAUUCCUUGCUUCGACCAGGGUGUACGAAGAUUAUACGAGACGAAGGGAAGAAGAAGAAGGUACGAGGAUGGAAGUGGAAACCUGGCUAACCCGUUGGAAGAUCUGAUGCUGACGGGUAUUAAAAUUAAUGAUCAGUACCGAACGCUGACGUGUCACCUUAUACCACCAUGCGUCAUCUUGAUUGACCAAUAAAUUAUCCAAGAGAUCAAUCAUUUUUCGUGGGAAUUUCAACAAAACGUCUAUUUUCAUACGGACAUUAUAUACGGUACAGGAAAUACCUUGAUGGCCUUUUUUUUAUCCUCAAUACUCACGAAACGUGACCUCAAGAUCACCGAUGUCUCGGGAGUCUCUUGAUUCGAUCACAAAAGCGUGACGCAAUUCGUCAUUGUCCAUAUAGUUUAGUCAAUAGAUUUACAAAAAAUAACCUUAAAAUUGAUCUUGUCAAAAAUCGUAAUUCAAUAGUUCCCAAUGGAUUCAUCCAGAGGGAACUGUAAUCAGUGAUGCCAAAUGAGAGAAUUACGAAAGUUAACACGGUACGAUAUGUGACAGGCUUUUCGUAUGGGAUUUUCGUAUUUAGUUUCUUGGUGUCAUGUCGUUUUUUACGGUUCCGCGCCUCAGGACAGGUUGGUCGCUCUAAACACACACAUGGGUUAUUUCUUGACAAGCAUCUUUAUCCAUCUUCAGCUCUCCAUUGGAUUUUCCAUCCACGUGUUUGUCUAUGGUGAAACAAGAACUAAAUUCAGCAUCCUGGGAAUAGACGCACCUGUCUUUCUGAUCCGGUGGCAGUUUUAAUCUAAACUUUAUUAAUAUAUACAUAUAUAUAUAGGCAUAUUAAGAUCAGUUCCAGCAUCACCAAUCUCUAGGAGGAAUUCCCAUAGGGAUGGUAUCCAUCCGAAGCUGGAUGAGUCACUCUGUCCAAAUGAAAGAGCAAAGCAUAACGGAGUAAAGAAGCCUGUAGUAGGGGAAGGGUUAUGGCAGUGGGGAUAUGUAAUGGAGAGGGAGUCACAGCCUCCGAGGAAAGAGAUAAUAUAUACCCUUGAUGUGUACCCAGAUGAGAUGACAGACCAUAUUGGAUUUUGGAAAUGACUUCAUGGACCAGAAGAAUGAUAUAUUAUACAAUAAUAGUCAUUUUUGGAUUCCAUUUUCUCGAUUUCAAGAUGCAUCGUGAAGAGAUGGUAGAUCUUCGUAGUUGAAUAGGAGCUUCUCGUGUCUAACUAAUGGGCCCAUAAUAAUGGGCAUGAAGAGAAAAUAAUAAGUAUGGACAAGCAAUAAAAACCAACUGUACUUUACACCUAUUGGAGAAUUGGUAUUAUGAAGAGGCAGCGAUAAAAAUCUUUUUUCUAUUUAUUCGUAGGAACGUUAUAAGGUAUAUGCCGUAUAACGUUGCUUGAGGUUCUUUAAACAUGUUCUCCUAUCGUAAGUCCCAAAGGAGUCGAGAAUUAUUGGGACCGUUACAUGUAGAAGGUACCAUAACACUGAUCGAACAGCGACUUCUUAAUGAUAUGGUGACCAUUAGAAUCUCACGUUGAGUGUCAUCGGACCCGACGUAGGCUGACGAUACGUUACGAUAAUGAUGUGACAAAAUCAGGGGCCUGGUAAGGCCCAGUAUGCUGUAACUAUGUUCACAUAUUCUUUCCUGCCACCUGGUUUACGGGUGGCCUCUGCCUACACCACCCACCAAGAAAAUACCCUUGGACACACUAAAUUUAAUCGAACGACUGAUUGUUUAACUGACCAUGUCGGGGCCUGUCAUGAUUCCCAAACUAUUUCUUUGGGUCAUAGGGCUCAAUAGACACUGUCCCUAGGGUACUCGAUUGGAUGAACGACAGGAAAGGAUUCCACGGAUUUAUUACUGGGUUACAACUUAGUAUCGGUACUACCAACUGGAGAAAACUGAAAAAUAUCCCUGUUGCGUGAAUCCGGUUGACCGAAUUCCACGUAGGUGAAUAAUGAUCGGAUAGGGCCCCGCGAGCGGGCCCUAAUAAAAGGACACAGACCCCUUUACCUUAUUCUACCCAAAAAAGAACGCACGGUGAAUAGGACCAGACUUCUUCUAAGAUCAUUCCGGGAAUAGAAGGUGAUACCUACUCUGUUAUACCGAGUGGUCCCAGACCCUUCGACGCCAGGGCCUUAGGGCCCUAAUCGGUUCUUCUCUUAAGUAGUUGCUAACACGUGUACUUAACCUGCACUCUCUUCUGAUCAUUAUAAUUUCACGAAAGCUCUCUGUAUCCAAAAUAAGGCCCAUUUUGGGAAUUUCAAUCAGCCAAUAAAAAUCCAGCAAAAUACCCUUAUCAGAAAUCUUCCCCUUCGAAACAAGACUCACCAGCCCCACGCUUCAACCUCUCCCUCAAUCACCCUUUCUGAACUCCCUAAGAUACCUAAAAUAUCAACAGUCAUCCAAAAUGAAAAGUCCAAAAUUUUUCAAAAACAAUUUUCUUUAUCAUCGAUAUAUCCAUACCGAUAUCUCAUUGAACCAAUGUCUUCAGGGUGGCUAGUACGUCACGUCACGUGGGAGCCCACCCAUGUCGCCGUUCUUCGUUCGCAUCUAUCACAGAGCCACCUUUACCCAGCUCUAGACUAAUAAAGGUUUCGAUUUCUCCUAUAUACCUUCACCCUAUAUCCCUUAUCAAAAGAGAGCAUACGUUAUCAAAAAAAUAAAAAAAUUCACACAUCCACCUUCAAUGACUUCAUAACUCGAACCACAUGUAUACCCCUUCCAAAGACUUUGUGGGUGUUUUCUUAUCGUUCCAAGUACCCGGAACAUCCUGAACCAAUGUCCAAGUCCCACGCACGCUCGUUACCGUCCAAGGAUCAUGUGUGACGUUGGAUAUGUGAUCACGUUCCAGAAAAAAUUCCCUCGAGUAGAUUCGUAAAAACGGCUGAUUCUAUAGGUGAAAAAAAACCCAAAUUCAAUUUUUAAAAAUUUUUCCAAAUCCUCUCGCCGUUACAGUAUGUCAUAAAUGAACUUUGAAAAUCAUCUUCGUUCUCAGAAUCCUAGAAAUUAUCUCCGUCAGGCUCGACCGAACACGUGGGUCGGUUGACAGUUCAUCGAACAGAUCAUCUUCCUUUUGCUACUUCUCGCGUUAUCUCACAGAAUCACAACCCGUAACUCCUUACAUUACACGUUUAUCCAAGAUUUAAUCGGCAACAAGUAUGGCUACAUAAUAUUAGCCAAUCAUGUUACGGGUAUUAGCAUAAACGGUAUUUAUAACCAAAGUAAUUGACUUUAUAUGUAUAUAUAUAUAUAUUAAAUCUUAAUAGAACCAGUUCUGUACACGUUUAAGAUACUUAUAUUGAUUAUCCAAUAAAAUGUUCAAUUCGAGUAUCGACACAUACAAAUUCGACAGAUGCAUCUGAGAUAUUUUUUCGAGCAGCUUCCGGCCAUGAAAAAUAAAAAAAAAUUGUACCAACUAAAACGAACCAUAUUAAUCACUCGGUAUACAGAUCUAUAUACACACAUAUACUGUCGCUAUAAAAAUUCAUCGAAUCACUUAAAUCCCUUUAAUGAUCCCGCGCCGCGUUUGAUCGCCACCCCAUAUAAAUUUAUAACGUCGAUUUUACGUUUAAUUAUCCGCGGCGCAUCCACAAGGCGUUCCUAAGGCCCCGAAAGUGUCCGUCUUUGGCGUCAUGGCCGACCGUCGUUAAGUCGUAAAAGCACGCAGAAUUCAUGUAGACCGUGACGUCACUACAUGCACAAUAAUGUCUUAUU